rnacentral:snRNA from 1 species
UAAACGUUUUUUUCUUUUU